GUGAGUCAUCGAAUCUUUGAACGCACCUUGCGCUCCUUGGUAUUCCGAGGAGCAUGCCUGUUUGAGUGUCAUUAAAUUCUCAACUUUGCUUGUCUUUUCAAGCAAAGCUUGGAUUUUGGAGCGUGCUGGCGAAGGUCGGCUCCUCUUUAAAUGCAUCAGCGGAAAGUCAUCUGGACUUUUGUGGUGAAUCGGCGUGAUAAUAAUGUUGUUGCGUCGUUGGCCCAAAGGUCUCUGUCCGCUUACAAUGGUCUUCGGACGACUCAUAAUGAAACUUGACCUCAAAUCAGGUAGGACUACCCGCUGAACUUAAGCAUAUCAAUAAGCGGAGG
rnacentral:rRNA from 1 species